UCUUCAGGUUUUGAUGAUGUAUCAGAGACUAAAUGAAUCUGAUCUUUAAUUCUAACAUUUUUCAGCAACUAUAUCAGCCAUCUUGACAGCAUUAAGUACAGCUCCUUGUGACUAAAAGGAAAAGUCUGACACUUUACUUCCUGGCAGGGAAAUGUUAGAGAGAGCCAGAUGUUGGUGCCCCAGCUGGGAGGAAACAAGACUUCCCCGGUGCCAGGAUGAUGGAUAACCCAGAUGAGCCACUGCGGCGCCUCCCCUACACCUUCAGCGUGAUGAGAAAUAGAGACGAAGAGGAGAAGGAGCGAUACAGCAGAUUACACAGACAACAAGCUCCAGUCUCCUAACGAGUGUUCCAAGGUUCCAUGAUGAGGUUGGGUGGCAGACAGAAUCCCCACAAGUCUCAGAGGCCACACAGACAUACCUACCUCCAAAGGGGUCACACACAGUUGGCCUGGGGUACACUAAGGGUACAAGCAAAGCUUGUUGCUGUCUGUGAUGCAUAACAACAAACAUGCUGAACGUAAUAAAGCAACAACCUCUACAGGAUAGCUGGUCUAUAAGGUGGCAUUCCUCAAAUCCCCCCAAAAAAAGACACAACAUACAGUGAGUUACAAAUUCUUUUAUUUUUUUAAACCGGACGGAAUCACAGAGUUUUACAAUGAAAAUAUAAUCAACUGUGUACAGAAUAUCGUGGGAUUUGUUAUUUGAGGAGUUUUACACGCGUAUGGUGUACCUGCUGCUCCUCUUCUGUUUGCAUGUUGCAGGUAGGAGCUGACACACACACACAC